rnacentral:lncRNA from 10 species
AGAGCUGUUAGAGCAGGGACGCGCGAAAGGCGGGAGUACGGGCGGCGCUGGAGAACCUCCGCGGCGGAGGGGCCUGGGGGUGGGACCGCGCCCGCGAGCCCGCCCUGACCGGGGUGCGUUCUACUGGCAGUUGCUGAGUUCGGAAGAUUAACUCUGAAUGUGGAGAGAUUAUUUUCUUGCUCGUAAACCUGGUUUACAUAUUUUCAUUCUUAAUGCUCAGUAAUCUUAAGGAAAGUCACCUGAAAGAAUACUUUUUCACCAAGUACUCUUCUGCGCCUGUUUGAAGGUGUCUGUGUGCUUGUGAAGCGCUCCCUUGUUAGUUCCUUCUGUGAGACUCGGGGGAGACUGAAGAGGGAAAUCACCUGCGGGGAAUGAACAGGAAAGCAAUAAGAAGAUUUGGAAAAGAGGCACUGGCUACUGGAGGAAGGGAGAAAUCACCGAGAGAGCGAAAGAUGUAACAGAUGCAGUGACUCAUGCCUAUAAUCCCAGUACUUUGGAAGGUCAAGGCACAAGGAUCCAUUGAGGCCAGGAGUCCAAGACCAGCCUGCACAAUGUAGCAAGACUCCUUCUCUACAAAAAAAUAAAUAAAAAUUAGCCAGGCAUGGUGGUGCACUCCUGUAGUCCCAGCUACUCAAGAGGCUGAUGUAGAGAAUCGCAUUAUCCCAGAGGUCAAGGCUGCAGUGAGCCGUGAUCAUGCCUCUGCACUCCAGCCUGGACGAUAGAGCAAGACUUUAUCUCAAAAAACAAAAAUUUAAAAAGAUAUCAGGUAGCUCAUAGAAUUGUUGAGAGGGCUGUAAAACCAGGCUUGAAC